UUUUGAAGUAUUUUUUAUUUAUAAAGGUGGUGUGGAGUUGAACAAAUGGGAGGGUCACCAAAAUGAAGUGUUGUGCAAGCAAUUUCGUGCCUGGUAAAACAAUGAAAAGACAAUUCAGAAGUUAGCAAAUCAGUAUUGUGCAAGUUGCCACACUGUAACAUUUGUCAGAAAGCAAAAACAAUAUAUAGCGCUGGUUAGCUAACAACAUGCUUUUUCUGAGAUAAUUCUGGCUAUUAAUCAACUGAAUAACAAAAGUUUCUUUCUGUUUGUUAUGUGCCAUUUUCUGUUUUUCUUUCACUAGCUGAAAUUACUUCUUUUUAAUUCUCCACAAAAAC
rnacentral:lncRNA from 1 species